AACACUGUUAACCUGCGGUACCUGCGGAAGGAUCAUUACAGAGUUAUCCAACUCCCAAACCCAUGUGAACUUAUCUCUUUGUUGCCUCGGCGCAAGCUACCCGGGACCCCGCGCCCCGGGCGGCCCGCCGGCGGACAAACCAAAACUCUUGUUAUCUUAGUUGAUUCUCUGAGCGUCUUAUUUAAUAAGUCAAAACUUUCAACAAUGGAUCU
rnacentral:misc_RNA from 1 species